ACUUAAAUGUCAUAAUCUGAACAAAUUAAGGCAGAUUUUACGUUAAAAACUAGAAAUCUCUAAUUCAUAGCAUAUACAUAAUCUGUGCUCUUACAAACGAAACAAAAUGUCAAAUUUACUUGUUGAUUGUUUACGUUUGAUGUUAUUGAUGUUUGAGAUUGAGAAAUUAUCUUAAAUCCAAAUGAGGCACGAUCCUCUCACCCAUCGUCAGUCCCAAGUUGAAACUGUUCGAAUUUAUGUAAAAAAAAAGAAACCCUGGCUUAGCAAAGGGUUUCUUGAAAUACACACCAUUGAAGCCAUUAUACAGAAUAAAAAUACCACAUAACGAGGUUGGCAGCUUCAGUAGGAGGAACAAGCCGUGCGCUAAACACUAUAAACAUUACAAACAAUGAACAAAGGCCAAGCAUAACAUUCCACAACUCCUCCACGUACUGUUACUCCACCGCCGUCUCAACAGCGAUCGGAAUACGCAACAUUUACUGAGAGAUUCCUGAGGGUGGUAGAACAGCAGGACUUGCAGACAUUGUGUGGAACGCAAAGCGGAAAGAGAAGAGAUACUGACUGAAGCCCUGACUGAACUGGGAAAAGGAUUGAAAGCUUUAGCAGAAGCUAAUAAAUGGAUUAAAGAUAAAAUAUUACUACA